rnacentral:rRNA from 1 species
GAUGAACGCUAGCGGCAGGCUUAACACAUGCAAGUCGAGGGGUAUAGUUCUUCGGAAUUAGAGACCGGCGCACGGGUGCGUAACGCGUAUGCAAUCUACCUUUCACAGAGGGAUAGCCCCAGAGAAAUUUGGAUUAAUACCUCAUAGUAUAGCAGUUUCGCAUGAAACCACUAUUAAAGUCACAACGGUGAAAGAUGAGCAUGCGUCCCAUUAGCUAGAUGGUAAGGUAACGGCUUACCAUGGCUAUGAUGGGUAGGGGUCCUGAGAGGGAGAUCCCCCANACUGGUACUGAGACACGGACCAGACUCCUACGGGAGGCAGCAGUGAGGAAUAUUGGUCAAUGGACGCAAGUCUGAACCAGCCAUGCCGCGUGCAGGAUGACGGUCCUANGGAUUGUAAACUGCUUUUGUACGAGAAGAAACAACA